rnacentral:lncRNA from 1 species
CUUAUAGGGGUUUGCAAAAUGAUGGUUUAAGUUUAAAGCAUCGGUUUGGUCAUGAACUAGCAGUCGGGUGUGUGGCUUCGGAAUCAGAAUAUUUGGCUGAAUUAGAAAGUGAACCGGAAGCUGAGAUGAAACCUGAAGAAGAAGAAGAAGAGUGGAUGAAACUGGGAAGGCUGAGAGAAAGGUGCAAGGAAAGGAAGGGAAUGGUGGAGCUUUUGGAGUGCUUGGAAAUAGAAGCAAUCAUGGGGGAAGACCAAGGGAGAGAGCCUAGUGAUUACAAC